AUUGAACGCUGGCGGAAUGCUUUACACAUGCAAGUCGAACGGUAGAGGGGGCUUGCACUAUCACUUAGCGGCGGACGGGUGAGUAAUGCUUAGGAAUCUGCCUAUUAGUGGGGGACAACAUCUCGAAAGGGAUGCUAAUACCGCAUACGUCCUACGGGAGAAAGCAGGGGAUCACUUGUGACCUUGCGCUAAUAGAUGAGCCUAAGUCGGAUUAGCUAGUUGGUGGGGUAAAGGCCUACCAAGGCGACGAUCUGUAGCGGGUCUGAGAGGAUGAUCCGCCACACUGGGACUGAGACACGGCCCAGACUCCUACGGGAGGCAGCAGUGGGGAAUAUUGGACAAUGGGGGGAACCCUGAUCCAGCCAUGCCGCGUGUGUGAAGAAGGCCUUAUGGUUGUAAAGCACUUUAAGCGAGGAGGAGGCUCUUUUGGUUAAUACCCAAGAUGAGUGGACGUUACUCGCAGAAUAAGCACCGGCUAACUCUGUGCCAGCCGCCGCGGUAA
rnacentral:rRNA from 1 species